UCCAAUGCGAAGCCUGCUUGUGAGUAAAUAUUCCGUUCCAGGUUGUUUUGUUUUUCAUUCCAUAAUUCAGCUAUAAAUGCAUGAGCCUUUGUAUUAGUUAUACAUCAAGGCCAACAGUUUAAAAGCUUGUAUUUAAGCUUUCUAUCACAUUUCCAAGGAAUCAAAUGGCAUCAUUGAAGAUGGAGAAACCUGUUAAAGAGGCUGUCAAACCUUCGGCUACCAAACCUUCAGCUACAAAACCUUCUGCCUCCAAAGCAGCCCCUAAAAAGCCUGCACAGCCUCGUGAACCUAGGAAGAAGUCAUCAGGUGCAAAGAAUGCAGCCACACCAAAGAAAUAAGGACAAGGCUGAUUAGCAACGAAGCCUAAUAUACAAUACUUCGUGGGAAUGUGAUCUUGUUUUUUUAUGUCUUUCGGAAUGGAAUAAAAGCAUAUUCUAUAAA